rnacentral:rRNA from 1 species
AGAGUUUGAUCCUGGCUCAGGACGAACGCUGGCGGCGUGCUUAACACAUGCAAGUCGAACGAUGAAGCCCUUUCGGGGGUGGAUUAGUGGCGAACGGGUGAGUAACACGUGGGUAACCUGCCCUUGGCUUUGGGAUAAGCCCUGGAAACGGGGUCUAAUACCGGAUAUGACCUUCACAGGCAUCUGUGAUGGUGGAAAGUUCCGGCGGCCAGGGAUAGGCCCGCGGCCUAUCAGCUUGUUGGUGGGGUGAUGGCCUACCAAGGCGACGACGGGUAGCCGGCCUGAGAGGGCGACCGGCCACACUGGGACUGAGACACGGCCCAGACUCCUACGGGAGGCAGCAGUGGGGAAUAUUGCACAAUGGGCGAAAGCCUGAUGCAGCGACGCCGCGUGAGGGAUGACGGCCUUCGGGUUGUAAACCUCUUUCGACAGGGACGAAGCGAGAGUGACGGUACCUGUAGAAGAAGCACCGGCUAAACCUACGUGCCAGCAGCCGCGGUAAUACGUAGGGGUGCGAGCCGGUUGGUCCGGAAUUAUUGGGCGUAAAGAGCCUUCGUUAGGGCGGGUUUGUCGCGUUCGACUGUGAAAAACCCUGGGGGNCCUAACCUCCUGGGGCCCUGCCAGUUUCGAAUUACCGGGCCAAGAACCUUGAAGUUUUCGGGUAGGGGGCGAGAAACCUGGAACUUUCCCCUGGGUUGUUAAGCGGGUGAAAAAUGCCGCCGAAUUUCCANGGANGGAACCACCCGGUGGCGAAGGGCGGGUUCCUUUGGGCCGAUACUGACGCUGAGGAACCGAAAGCUUGGGGAGCGACCAGGAAUUGAAUACCCUGGUAGUNCAUCGCUGUUAACCGUUC